UGAAGGUAUCUAAUGCAAAAGUUAUUGG
rnacentral:sRNA from 1 species